rnacentral:ncRNA from 1 species
AUAAAUAAUAAAACAGCUCGUAUAAUUUUGAUAUUACGGUUCAAAAGUUUCUACAGAUUCACCAUAAGAAUCUACUACGGGCUGGCUUAAA